rnacentral:rRNA from 1 species
AAGAGGGCAAACCGAAGAGUUUACUCUUCGGGGUUGUAGGACUGCAACGUGGACUUAAAGAUUAUAGAAGAACUACCUGGGAAGGUAGGCCAAAGAGAGUAAUAGCCUCGUAUUCGAAAUAGUCUUUAUACCUAGCAGUAUCCUGAGUACGGCGAGACACGAGAAAUCUCGUCGGAAUCUGGGAGGACCAUCUCCCAACCCUAAAUACUCUCUAGUGACCGAUAGUGAACCAGUACCGUGAGGGAAAGGUGAAAAGCACCCCGGGAGGGGAGUGAAAUAGAACCUGAAACCGUGUGCCUACAACAAGUUCGAGCCCGUUAAUGGGUGAGAGCGUGCCUUUUGUAGAAUGAACCGGCGAGUUACGAUAUGAUGCGAGGUUAAGUUGAAGAGACGGAGCCGUAGGGAAACCGAGUCUUAAUAGGGCGCAUUAGUAUCAUGUCGUAGACCCGAAACCAUGUGACCUACCCAUGAGCAGGUUGAAGGUGAGGUAAAACUCACUGGAGGACCGAACCAGGGCACGUUGAAAAGUGCUUGGAUGACUUGUGGGUAGCGGAGAAAUUCCAAACGAACUUGGAGAUAGCUGGUUCUCUCCGAAAUAGCUUUAGGGCUAGCGUCGAUGUUAAGUCUCUUGGAGGUAGAGCACUGUUUGGGUGAGGGGUCCAUCCCGGAUUACCAAUCUCAGAUAAACUCCGAAUGCCAACGAGAUAUAAUCGGCAGUCAGACUGCGAGUGCUAAGAUCCGUAGUCGAAAGGGAAACAGCCCAGACCACCAGCUAAGGUCCCAAAAUAUAUGUUAAGUGGAAAAGGAUGUGGGGUUGCACAGACAACUAGGAUGUUAGCUUAGAAGCAGCUAUUCAUUCAAAGAGUGCGUAAUAGCUCACUAGUCGAGUGACCCUGCGCCGAAAAUGUACCGGGGCUAAAACAUAUUACCGAAGCUGUGGAUACCUUUAUAGGUAUGGUAGGAGAGCGUUCUAUGUGCGAAGAAGGUGUACCGUGAGGAGUGCUGGAGCGCAUAGAAGUGAGAAUGCCGGUAUGAGUAGCGAAAGACAGGUGAGAAUCCUGUCCACCGUAAGACUAAGGUUUCCAGGGGAAGGCUCGUCCGCCCUGGGUUAGUCGGGACCUAAGGAGAGACCGAAAGGUGUAUCCGAUGGACAACAGGUUGAUAUUCCUGUACUAGAGUAUAUAGUGAUGGAGGGACGCAGUAGGCUAACUAAACCAGACGAUUGGAAGUGUCUGGCCAAGCAGUGAGGUGUGAUAUGAGUCAAAUGCUUAUAUCUAUAACAUUGAGCUGUGAUGGGGAGCGAAGUUUAGUAGCGAAGUUAGUGAUGUCACACUGCCGAGAAAAGCUUCUAGCGUUAAUUAUACUCUACCCGUACCGCAAACCGACACAGGUAGUCGAGGCGAGUAGCCUCAGGUGAGCGAGAGAACUCUCGUUAAGGAACUCGGCAAAAUGGCCCCGUAACUUCGGGAGAAGGGGCGCUGACUUAUGGUCAGCCGCAGUGAAUAGGCCCAAGCAACUGUUUAUCAAAAACACAGCUCUCUGCUAAAUCGUAAGAUGAUGUAUAGGGGGUGACGCCUGCCCGGUGCUGGAAGGUUAAGAGGAGUGCUUAGCGUAAGCGAAGGUAUGAAUUGAAGCCCCAGUAAACGGCGGCCGUAACUAUAACGGUCCUAAGGUAGCGAAAUUCCUUGUCGGGUAAGUUCCGACCCGCACGAAAGGCGUAAUGAUUUGGGCACUGUCUCAACGAGAGACUCGGUGAAAUUUUAGUACCUGUGAAGAUGCAGGUUACCCGCGACAGGACGGAAAGACCCCAUGGAGCUUUACUGCAGUUUGAUAUUGAGUAUCUGUACCACAUGUACAGGAUAGGUAGGAGCCUAUGACCUCGGGACGCCAGUUUCGAGUGAGGCGUUGUUGGGAUACUACCCUUGUGUUAUGGCUACUCUAACCCAGAUAGGUUAUCCCUAUCGGAGACAGUGUCUGACGGGCAGUUUGACUGGGGCGGUCGCCUCCUAAAAGGUAACGGAGGCGCCCAAAGGU